rnacentral:rRNA from 1 species
CAAUAGCGUAUAUUUAAGUUGUUGCAGUUAAAAAGCUCGUAGUCGGAUUUUGGCUGAGAACGAUCGGUCCGCCGUUAGGUGUGCACUGAUUGGUCUCAGCUUCCUGGGGAGGAGGUGUGCUUCACGGCCACUUAGUCACCGUGGUUACUUUGAAAAAAUUAGAGUGUUCAAAGCGGGCUUACGCUUGAAUAUAUUAGCAUGGAAUAACACCAUAGGACUCCUGUCCUAUUUCGUUGGUCUCGGGACGGGAGUAAUGAUUAAGAGGAACAGUUGGGGGCAUUCGUAUUUCAUUGUCAGAGGUGAAAUUCUUGGAUUUAUGAAAGACGAACUUCUGCGAAAGCAUUUGCCAAGGAUGUUUUCAUUGA